GGGGCGCAAAACCAAAAUUGAGUGGGUCAGUAAAACAAUUCUUUUCCAAAUCCAAACAUUUCUCAAAACGUUGUAACCCCUCUCCGUAAAACCUGUAUACUUUCCCAGAAAUGUAAAAUAUAAAUAUACAUAUAUAUUCUCAAUACUUUAAUUCAUUAACUCAACAUUUUUUCUUUAUCAAUCAUGCCAUGCCAUGUCUAAUUCAACAGUUAAGUAUGGAUGCAUCAACAAUAAUCAUAUCAGGUGCAAGAAAGUAAUCAACCGGAGGCCCUCUAAUAGCCCUGUACGGUUGAACCUAGAGCUCAAAAUCUAUCACUAUCACUCUACCGGAGUCACCUCUGUGACCCGUCCGGCCUUCUGCACACAAGUUACGCUCUAGUGCUUUCUCAUCAAUCAUCUGUGCACAUAAUCUAAGGUCACCCACCAGUCGAAAUCUCACUAACACUCUUCGACUGGCCCGUCGCACCCACUCCGCGUGGACUGUACGACCAGCAUCUACUUGGAUCCAAGGCGAGCGUGCGAUGCGGUGAAUACUAUAAGCACUAAACCAUGGUGCAGGAUUUGAGCUCAAUAUAUAUCAACAUCAUCAUAACAGUAAUUAAAUACUCACCUGAUACUCACCUGUGCGUCCGCCGCACCAUUCAUUCAUAUGCAUCAUAUCUCAAUUCAUACUUUUCAUAUCAUUUCAUGCAUGGCAAUUCGAUUCACAUUUCUAUAUACUUUUCAUAUACUUUCAUGCAUGACAUUUCAACUAAUAUAUCUCAUAUACUUUUAUACAUUUUCAUUAAAAGCAUAAUUUCAUGCAUUUUCAAUUUCUAGGAAACGGCAAGUAUAUAUGUAUACGGAAAACAAAACUGCCCACUCACCUGGAGUUCGUCCAACAACUCCCUAGCACCACACAUCAAGGCGUCACGACGAUCGCCGCCUAGAAUAGUAAUCAAAUCCAACCUCAGAAUUCAUAUCGAUAGAAUAUAACUUAUAUAAAAUACGUCACUACGUAGAUCGAUCCGGAAGAUCUGCCACUCAGAUUUUAAAUCCAUAACUUCCAGAGGUCCACAAUAUAUCUCUAGGAUAACAUCCUAAAAUUUCAUUACCAUCCAACGGUCGGAUCUCCGUCAAUUUCCAAAACUAAGUGACGGUUAACAUUCUAUAUUAUGGACUUACAACUCCAAUUUCGGAAGAUCCGCAAAUCGGAUUCCCAAUCUGUAAGUUCCUAUAAUCCUCAAAUAUUACGUAUUACAACGUAUCAAAGUUUGGUGAUGAUCCAACGGUCGGAUCAUCAAUUCAUAUUUUCACUUAAAUGCAAAAACUAUAAAACGUUAUUUGAACACCUAACCAACAAUCCUUAAUAACUUUCUCAUACGGUGCUCAAAUUGGGUAUACGAAUAUACCACAGUGAUCUACUCGACGUCACGGACGUCGACAUAUUUUUCAAAUAAUUUUUUACUGUAGCACGCGCCCCCACGCGCCAAGGAAGGCACGGACCUACGCGCCCCCACGCGCACCUUCUUCUUCCUUGGGUCGCCGGACUGGUUUUUCCGGCGGCCGUUUUUCAAAUUGCCAUAACUUUGUCAUUUCUCAACGAAAUCAAGUGAUUCCAAAACGAAAGUUGUAGCCCUUGAAGAUACAAAGAGAAUGGUACCUUGCACAACACCUAGUUCGCCGUGGUUUGGCCGGAAACUGCCUCGAAAGCCUCGGAGGUCGCCGGAAACUGGGUAUUUUUCAAAUGAGUAUAACUUCUUCAAUACUCAACGAAAUUGAGUGAAACAAAAAGGAAAGUUGUAGUACUUGACGAGACGAAGAGAUGGAUACCUACCUCGACUCCUAACUCGCCGGGGAUUCGCCGGAAAAAUCCUCGAAAGCUCCGGCCAAACUUUGAACUUGUCGAUCUCCGUGUUCUUACGUCCAAAAACUUCCAACGAAGCACUCCGAGCUUCCUUGGGACCUCACUAAGCUCGCUGUGAUCUUGUUUUAGCCUAAAUCGUAACCAUUUAAAAGAUCAUGAACAGUGCUCUUCCACGGGGAGUUUAGAAUCUAGGUUUUCCGAAGUAAAACUUACCUGAAAUUGGUGUCUACGUGAUCGUUGAGGUUCCAGGAGUUCAAUGGUGGUCUUAACUCCGUCGUUGGUAUAGAAGUUUAGUGUGGUUUUGGAGCUUGUCCGUGUGAGUUCGAAGGAGAGGGAGAGAGAACUGAGAGUUGCGUGAGGGAGGAGAGAGAGAGGGACAAGGUACGGGAAUUGGGGAAGGUUUUGAGGGAUGUGGGGAUCCCACGUGUCCAACUCAAUCCAAAUUGUUAAAUUUUCACCCCUUAGUCCCGUUUAAGGGCAUUUUCGUCUUUUCACGUCCUCGGAAUUAAAAUUCCGGGACGGGCUGUGACAAUCUUCCCUCCUUAUAGAAUUUCGUCCCCGAAAUUCCAGCAACCAACUAAAUCAACCAUACUCCAACAAUAGCUUCGGGUAAAUCUGUCUCAUCCGAUUCUCUUUCUCCCACAUAAUUUUCUACUGAAUGAUUCAUUCACAAAGCUUUUACUACUUACUCUGUCUUAAUUCUCAGGACCUUCUUUUUCCAAUCCAAAGUCGUCAUUGGUUCCUUAUCAAGUCGAAUCCAAUUUAAUUCUCAAUAGUUGCACCAGAAUCUCUUGUGACGAAUCUGCCACCUAGUGACAACGUAUCGAACCCAAAAUACAUUAAGUACCUUAGCCAACUCUGAAGACAUCACCACUUGUAUGCAACUUUAUUGAUUCCUUUAGUGAUAAAAAAAUGGUCUGAUGUGUCUAAAUCUUAUUUUGUCUCCUUUCCAACCCGAAUUAUACUUUUCUAUGGUGAACACUUCGAAAAUAUAAAACCAUUUGUCUUAUACACUCGAUUAGUGGCAUAUCCCUCUGUUAAUCUCUUUUGCCAUUCCUGGUUACUUUCAAGUUAACUUAAUCACCUGAAUACUUUGAGGAGACUCAUCCAUAGUCUCAGGGCCUACAAAAACUCUUUCGUGAUCAAAUCUUUUUCUAUUCAGAAGCAUUUCAUUCACACGACACGCUUCAGGGACCCUAUGGCGUUAUUUCGGAAACUGCGCACCCAACAUACUUAAGAAACUCAGCAGUUCCGUAAUCCAAUUCUCUUUUCCAUAAAACAAAUAAGUACUGUUACUCAACACUGGAGUAAAUGUACUAACUUGGUACAUUGACCAAUUAUCACUUCAAAUUCGAUCAUAACCAUCCUAUGUACAAGGAAACUUGUACACAUAAUCCAAAGUAAUAUCUUUCCAUUUCCACUGCGAAACAGAAAAUAGUUAUCCCAAUCCAAAGGUUUAUCUUUUUCUGCCUCAAUCUGCUGACCAAAUAAAACUGUCGAAUGGUAUGAUAAAUCUUAUUACUUUUGGAAUAUUACAGAAGUUGAACAGUGAACUUCGUCCAAUUUUUGCUUGCUUCAAAUCCUCAGCAUUAGGCACAUACUUUUUGUUUUCUUGUAUCCACAUACCAUUUGAUUCACGAAUCAUGUACUCAUUCUUUUUCCCUUCUUUCUCUGCCUUGGUUAAUUCUUAAAUUUCCUCGUCAAACAUUUAAGUUUCGAGUACGACCUUACCAAACAGGCCUAACUUGAAAUUUAACAAAUAUAACUUCUUCUCGAUCUUCCAUUCUUAAUUUUUCUUCCGUUGGUUUUCAAUCCACAAGAUGAUACUCUUGGCAAACGUGCCAGACAUUAAUCUUACUGUAGUCUUCUCACCAAGUGCUUCAGCUAGAACAAACUUUACGAUCACCCUGAUCGUACAAUCAUGUUCAUUAAGCAAUACAAUUCACUUUCGCUGCCUCAUAUCAAAAUCCUUCCAAGUAAUGGAUAUUGAAGACUUUUUGGAUUCGUAAAAAAAAUCUUGCAUUCUUACUAAAAUAUAAUGUCUCCAUAACUUCACAGCAAGGAUGGUAAUCGUGACUUCCAAAUCACCAGUAGGGUAAUUCAUCUUAUGAGGUUCCAUUUGUCGUGAAACGUAUGCAAUCACCCUAACAUUUGCAUUAAUACAUAUCCAAGAACAUUUAAUGUAACAUCACCAUAUACCGAUAAUUAUCGCUAUCUUCUGGGAAUAUUAAAAUACGUGCAUGAGUGAGGAAAUACUUCAGUUGUUGAAUCCUUUGCUCACAAUUUCCUUCCCACUCAUACAUAACCUCUUUUCUCAACAGUCUCGUCAAUGACAAAGCAAUGACUGAAAAAUCUUUCACAACCAUCCAAGAUAGCCUGGUAAGUUAAGAAAUUCCAAAUCUCAAUUACGACUCGUGGUUGUUCCAAUUCCUCAAUUUCUACUAUCUUUUAAGAAUUCAUUUGAAUACCUUAAGCAGAUAUACAAAUCUCAGAAUGCCACCUGAUUCAUCUAACUUUAGCAUUUGCUACUUAGCAUACAACCAACGUUCUCUCAAUCUUUGCUUCACCAACUUAAUAUGUUUACAUGCUUUGCUCUGGCUCAGAAUAUGCCAGAAUAUCUUCAAUGAAAAUGAUAUCAAGGCAUUAUUGGAAUACUUCAUCCAUCAACUCAUAAAACAGCAUGAGUAUCCAUAUAGCAUCACCAAACUUCAUCAAGACUAUAACGAGUCCAGAAAAACAAUCUUAGGAACAACGUUACUCAUAAUCUUCAAUUGAUAAUAAACAGACCUCAAGUCAAUCUUUGAAAAUAUACAAGCACCUUUGAACUGAUCAAAGGAGCGUCAAUACACCACAAUGGAUAACGGUUCUCAUUCGUUACCCGAUUCCAUUAUCUAUAAUCAAUGAACAAUCUCUAAGUCCAUUUCCUUUCUCACCAACAAACUGGUGCUCCUCAACAGUGUUGUACUAUGUUGAAUAAAACUUUUAUCAACCAAUUCUCUCAACUGAAUUUCCAAUUCCCUUAACUCAUCAUGAACCAAUCUUUAACAUAAAUUUAUACCCGGCAACAAAUCAAUAAUGAACCUCAUAUCUCUGCCUGAAGACAAUCCAGGUAUACUUUCAGGGAAGACAUCAAGAAAAGUCUAACCCCUUUUUCAUUUUUCACACUUCUCCGAGCAACAUCCUUUAGUACCACAUGAACUAAGUAUUUUUUUUUGACAUCCUUUCGAAAACAAUCUCUUUGCUCUCACAGCAUAAAUAACGGCCUGACUCAAUCCACUUUGCAUACUUACAAAAAUAAUCUCUGGUCAUCCAGAUCGAUGGAAAGUACUGGUUUCCCGUAACAUUCCAUCUAGUCACAACUAUAAACAAUCACUCUAAUGGAAUAAAAUUAAUUGACCCAAUACAUACUUUAUCAUUACUGAACAUUCUAAAUAAGUACAACACUAACAUAAAAUAAUUUACCGGGUUGCUUGCUUAACGAAUCCACGAAUAAGUUAUUAAUAUUACGGUCUGCAGCCCGCAAUACUGAUAAAUCAUUGUUGUCUCGAUAAGUAAGAAACCACUCUCAAAGAUAUAACAUUACUAUUUUGUCACUCAAUGAAAAAUACUUACACUCGUCUCAACUACAUUUAUUUACUACUCUCAAGGUAAUAACAUACAUAAUAAGAAAUAUAUCAGCCGAAGUCAACUAGAAUGACCAAUACGACUGAUUCAACUCUUAUCUCAAUAAUACGUCGGCCGGAUCCACUCCGCGUGGUCGGUACGGCCGAGCCUAUAACUCACCAAUUUCUCAUGUGUCAAUCGAAUCCACUUCUCAUGGUCUGUACGGCUGAACAUAUAACUCAUCAAAUCUCUCCGUACUCACGGUCAAUCCGACCAAACUACUAAAUCCAUAACUCUGCUGAAUCAACACUAUGAUAUCAUGGAAAAUUGUUGAGUACAACUGAUUCUAGGGACGAUUCACAAUUCUGUGUCCCCUCUGUUCACAUAAACACAUUCAUUAAUUUCACAUUUCCCAAAGUGUUAAUUUUUGUACCUGCUGCACAAGGUACAUUUCCUUUACUCGAGACACCUUGUCUCAAAUAUCUGGGAUUACCAGUAUAUCCAUCACUUUUACUCUGACCAGCGACAAUAAAACCUCAGCUGGAAGAAUUAAUUCUAGCUUCACUUCUUUUUAAACUCUGAAUCCUUCGAUAUUCUUGAUAUGACGAAUCAUUAACUUUAUCGUCUUCUUUUGAUUCCCAUUCAUUUCUUAUUCUUCUUUAUUCUCAUUGAUCAUGUUCUCAGAGUCCUCAAGGCUCAACAACAUCUUGUAUACUCCUGGUAAGAAGUACAAUGGAUAGUGGUCACCCAAAAUACCACUUCCCUUUUUGCCACCCAGCUUAAAACAAUAUAACACCUCCACCAAAUUAACAACAAUAUCUGGAUGGAACGAGGCAAGUCUGAAAACUUUCUAUAAUAUUCAUUUAUCGUCAACUUCCUUAAUUCACAUUUGCAAACUCUUGCUUACUACCAUCGAUAAAUGCCGGAGGGAUAAACUUUUCCUUAAACAAUUUUAAAUCGGCUGUUCCUCCGAUGACAACAAAUCAUACUCCUGUUUCCACCAGGAUACAAAUUCAUACCCAAAACCAGGUAGUCGUCUCGACCCCCCUGUCAGAAGGAAGAUUCCUUUGACUUGCAUAAUCUGAAACAUCUUUUCCAAAUGGUUAAACCGUUACUUCGCUCCCUCAGGUUCAUCAUUUCAUAAGGUGAUUCAAAUUCGACUCAUAACCCGUCUUAAAAUGUCCAUUUUUAUAAUAUACUGAAUCACCAUAAUAAUAGUUUUCCCUAAACCGCUAUAUUAGGGAGACUAAAUUCCUCUAACUAAGUGGCUUGCUACGAGGCGGUGUAGUUCUGACAGAAUUCACUAGAACUUCUCAAGAUGUCCAAGAUUGCAACCAUGCUCUGAUACCAACUGACACACCCCGUCCCGAAGGAGGGCAUGCUGGCCGUCACGUGAGAGUGACGUAACCAUUUGCACAGUACGGAAGCUUUAAGAUACAAUUUAUAAGUUGAUACACCCGAAGGUGAGUCCUAAUUUUGUCCAAUCUGUCAGAACACCGUCGAAUUCCUCGUAGUCACCACACCUUUGUGAUUCCUGAACCUGGAGGGGCGCAAAACCAAAAUUGAGUGGGUCAGUAAAACAAUUCUUUUCCAAAUCCAAACAUUUCUCAAAACGUUGUAACCCCUCUCCGUAAAACCUGUAUACUUUCCCCAGAAAUGUAAAAUAUAAAUAUACAUAUAUAUUCUCAAUACUUUAAUUCAUUAACUCAACAUUUUUUCUUUAUCAAUCAUGCCAUGCCAUGUCUAAUUCAACAGUUAAGUAUGGAUGCAUCAACAAUAAUCAUAUCAGGUGCAAGAAAGUAAUCAACCGGAGGCCCUCUAAUAGCCCUGUACGGUUGAACCUAGAGCUCAAAAUCUAUCACUAUCACUCUACCGGAGUCACCUCUGUGACCCGUCCGGCCUUCUGCACACAAGUUACGCUCUAGUGCUUUCUCAUCAAUCAUCUGUGCACAUAAUCUAAGGUCACCCACCAGUCGAAAUCUCACUAACACUCUUCGACUGGCCCGUCGCAACCCACUCCGCGUGGACUGUACGACCAGCAUCUACUUGGAUCCAAGGCGAGCGUGCGAUGCGGUGAAUACUAUAAGCACUAAACCAUGGUGCAGGAUUUGAGCUCAAUAUAUAUCAACAUCAUCAUAACAGUAAUUAAAUACUCACCUGAUACUCACCUGUGCGUCCGCCGCACCAUUCAUUCAUAUGCAUCAUAUCUCAAUUCAUACUUUUCAUAUCAUUUCAUGCAUGGCAAUUCGAUUCACAUUUCUAUAUACUUUUCAUA
rnacentral:lncRNA from 1 species